GACGAACGCUGGCGGCGCGCUUAACACAUGCAAGUCGAACGGAAAGGCCUGCUUUCCCUUGUGGAUUGCGGGUACUCGAGUGGCGAACGGGUGAGUAACACGUGAGUGAUCUGCCCCCAACUUGGGUAUAAGCCUGGGAAACUGGGUCUAAUUCCCGAUAGGACUGCAGGGUGGUGCCUGUGGUGGAAAACGAUUUUCUAGUGGUUGGGGAUGAGCUCGCGGCCUAUCAGCUUGUUGGUGGGGUAAUGGCCUACCAAGGCGGCGACGGGUAGCCGGCCUGAGAGGGGGGACGGCGACAUUGGGACAGGGAUACGGCCCAGACUCCUAGGGGAGGCAGGAGUGGGGAAUAUUGCACAAUGGGCGGAAGCCUGAUGCAGCGACGCCGCGUGGGGGAUGACGGCAUUCGGGUUGUAAACUCCUUUCGACCGAGAGGAAGCCACCUGGUUGGAAGGGUGGUGACGGUAGUGGUAGAAGAAGCACCGGCUAACUACGUG
rnacentral:rRNA from 1 species